UACAAAUUUCCUGCACUAAUUUAUCAGCUAAAGAUUCAUUUUUCUGCACGUUUUUUAAUUCUGUUUAGUAAUCGAAAGUUGGAGAAUUCCAAAAUUUAUACGUAGUCAUUAAAAAAAGCGAAAAUUAUACAGCGACUGAUACACAAAAUAUGUAACUGCUGAUGCUGGUAAUCACAAUGAAACUGAAACAUCUGUCUAUGAAAUUAUCUGGAACAUUUAUUGCAAAUGAAAAAAAGUGAUUGGGAUGAAUUAACUAAAAGGCAAUCAUAACGUUGAGAUUAUCACUGGUGACAUCAACUUUACGUAUGUACUGAGCAGAAUGAGGGAAACUACAAUACGUCUUCAAGUAUCAAAGAUAACUAAAUUCUGGCCUCAAAGGCAGACAGCAACUGACUGAAAAGCGCGCGGCGAGGUUCCCCCUGUUGUUGAAAAAGAACUACGAUCAGGAUCUAAAAGAUGGUCUACUAGAACAUGCCCAAGAGUGUCAACCACUGAUUGUGACCUCAUGACCCUGUGCACCUCAAGACUGCAUCGAUAUCCAUUCAACAUCAGAAUUUACAUAAAGUGGACCAGUCACCAAGUGGUGCAUUAAUGAGCUGCACCGUAAUUUGAGAUUGAGAUCUAAUAUUGAAUACCAUGCGUUGUUUGUAUGUCUCUUCUAAUGAUCAUGAACAGCAAGAACUAACUGUAAGACUACUGAAAUUAAAUCAUUGAUUAAAAAAUUCUAAAUUUGGUUUGAUGGUGCUGUUAAAUACCCUAUAGAAAUUUCAGGAAAC